rnacentral:lncRNA from 1 species
UGCCUGAAGCUCCUGCUCCAACCUGAACGCUGCACUGCUGCGAUCCGCUUCUAACUCUGAAGUUGUUGCUUCUGCUGCUCAGCAACAGAGCAGAGCAGGCCGACAUCCAAGCCCCUACUCCACGCGGCCUCUACAGAGGAAGGAGAAGACGGAGGGGAGCGGCCCUUUGCUCACAUAGCGGCAGAGAGCCGAUCAUACGCGAGAGAUGGAGAGGACGACGAGCCGGAGCGGAAGAAAACCCACCGGAGAAGGAGAAGUUGCCACCGUUGUGGACGUCGAGGUGGAGGUCCUGGCGCUGAUCCCUUCGCAAAAAUGGAACCCCCCGAAGG